UCCGCAAAAAAUUUCCGCAAGUUUUAUUUUACGUUUUUCUUCCGCAAAAUAUUUCCGCAAUACAGUUUUUUACCUUGUUCCUUACGCAGGAGAUCUCCCGCUUAAGUGCCUUACUUUCCACUAUGGUUGAAACCUAGUUGCAAACCAAAUUCUCAAAAACGGCAUGUUUAGCAAUAAUACAGCUAAACAUUUUAGUCAAAGAGCAAAUGAAUAUAACUACGCCAUUCUACGAUGAAAUCUCUAGGUAUUCCCAGUCAAUUUUAGCAAAUAUUUCAAGCA